rnacentral:rRNA from 1 species
GAUCCUGGCUCAGGAUGAACGCUAGCUACAGGCUUAACACAUGCAAGCCGGAGGGGCAGCAUCAUCAAAGCUUGCUUUGAUGGAUGGCGACCGGCGCACGGGUGAGUAACACGUAUCCAACCUGCCGACAACUCUGGGAUAGCCUUUCGAAAGAAAGAUUAAUACCGGAUGGCAUAGUUUUCCCGCAUGGGAUGACUAUUAAAGAAUUUCGGUUGUCGAUGGGGAUGCGUUCCA